UUUUUAAAGGGCAGAGAUGUGAAGGGUUACAGAGGAGUUCAUGCCCCACUGGUGGGACACAAAGAGGAAGGAUAAUUUUGGAAGUCGUGGGACAGUAAAAUAUUUGGAGCGACUGAAUACUGGCCCUUCACAGAUUCGAAUCCCCGGAGCCUGUGAACCGGUUGUAUUAUAGAGCAAAGAAGAUGAUAGUGAUGUCAGAUUGCAAGACUGAAAUCAGGGAGAUUAGCCCGAUUGUCACCGUGGGCCCAACUCAAUCAUAUGAACCCCUCAUAGCGGGUAAGCCAUUCAGCUUCUGACGUGGCAGUCAUAGAGAUCCAAAUGCCUUGAACUGCAUUGCUGGCCCCGAGUUGCAGGGACCACCCAUAAAGACUGGAAAGGGAAGACUAAGGUAACCUCCCUUAGCUAGUGGCAAGGAGCUAGAGAGCGCCACCGCACAAGUACACAGGCCUGAAGUCGGCCAACGCUCCCGGAGGGGGCGUGUUUCCCAGAUUCCUUCUUCACUCUAAAAGCCAACCAUCUGAUACCUUUGUCCUAGUCUCGUGUAUCCUACGGCAAAGACAGUACCUAAGCCAACUUGAGGGUUUUGGACCACAGAAGUGUGAGCUGACACGUCACGGUUGCUCCGAACGUGGUCUACACUCGCUGCCAUUUGUUACGGCAGCGACAGAAAACUAAUACGGAGGUAAAGGUGAAAAUCCCCCGACUCAGCAGUCCUGCUCCCAUCGGAGAAACGCGCCCCGAGACACUCGCAGAAACGCUUAGCACAGCACCAUUUGCCACAGUCUCAACCUGGAAAUGAUCCAAGUGCCGACAUCGUCUGCCUCAUGUUACAGUCUACGCAGGCAAUCCUACUGGAACUGAGUGGGGGCAAGGCGUCGUGUUUCUUACAUGCAGAACAUGGAGCUUCUUGAUUUGGUUCCACCAGCUCCCAUGUGCUCAGGGCCAUGGAAGCCAGAGUCCUUCACAGACAAGUGCGCCAUCUGCGAGGUUUCAUCGGCAGCCUUCCAGGGGUCCGGUUGAGGCAUCGAGACUGCUGUCUGUGUCUGAGGCCAGGGUGUGCUCAGUGGACAUGGAUGAGAUGUCAUUGAUGGAUGACGACUGAGAAGGAGUAGCCUUGCUGCUUACUGCUGCAUCUGUGCUAAGAAAACCAAACGGAGUAAAAUCUGAGGCACGGCAUCCUGCACGCCAGGCGUGGGGCUUCAGGCUACUUCUCCAUUCUGUGCUUGGUAGUUUCCGGAUCCUAAUGACCCACAGAACCAAGACUGCUCAACUACACUUUAAGCUUCUGGGAUUUUUCCUGGAGUCCUUUGUUAGUUCAGUUUCGAAAUCAGUCUUGGGCUUUCCCUACAAUAGUCCCCUGUUCUGCCCGCACCACGGGCAAUGUGUAUGUGGUCACAUAUGACCAUGUUGAUGACUUAAAAGAUAUACCUGCUAACUUCAAAUAGACCUUAAGAGAAAAUGGAUGAAUUCUCCCUACAACUACCACAAGAGGCUUAGGCCUGAGAAGGAUUCAAGUGUGAUGAACAUUUCAUCCACAAUAGACAAACCUCAUCUGUAGGAAAAACCAUCAGGAUUCAAAUGAAUCUUUUGUGAUAAAAACACUUUCUAAAAUAUACACCCCAGGGGUUGGGGAUUUAGCUCAGUGGUAGAGCGCUUGCCUAGCGAGCGCAAGGCCCUGGGUUCGGUCCCCAGCUCCGAAAAAAAAAAUACACCCCAAAAGAUAACUUUAGCGCCUGCUUUAGAUUUUAUUUUUGUCUAGUGAGUCAAGAAAUCAUUAUUUUAAUUUCGGAGGUAAAUAAAGCCCUCCUACCUCCUACUA